CCUACGGGUGGCAGCAGUGGGGAAUAUUGCACAAUGGGGGAAACCCUGAUGCAGCGACGCCGCGGGAGUGAAGAAGUAAUUCGGUAUGUAAAGCUCUAUCAGCAGGGAAGAAAAUGACGGUACCUGAGUAAGAAGCCCCGGCUAACUACGUGACAGCAGCCGCGGUAAUACGUAGGGUGCAAGGGUUAUCCGGAUUUACUGGGUGUAAAGGGAGCGUAGACGGCAGUGCAAGUCUGGAGUGAAAGGCGGGGGCUCAACCCACGGCCUGAUCUGGAAACUGGACGGCUGGAGUGCAGGAGAGGUAAGUGGAAUUCCUAGUGUAGCGGUGAAAUGCGUAGAUAUUAGGAGGAACACCAGUGGCGAAGGCAGCUUACUGGACUGUAACUGACGUUGAGGCUCGAAAGCGUGGGGAGCAAACAGGAUUAGAUACCCCUGUAGUC
rnacentral:rRNA from 1 species